rnacentral:rRNA from 1 species
CACGACUACAUUAGAUACCCGCGUAGUCCCAGCUGUAAACGAUGCAGACUAGGUGUUUGGACGGCCACGUGCCGUUCUAGUGCCGCAGGGAAGCUGUUAAGUCUGCCGCCUGGGGAGUACGAUCGCAAGAUUGAAACUUAAAGGAAUUGGCGGGGGAGCACCACAAGGGGUGAAGCUUGCGGUUUAAUUGGAGUCAACGCCGGAAAUCUCACCGGGAGCGACAGCAGUGUGAUAGCCAGAUUAAAGGUCUUGCUAGACGAGCUG